CUCAAACUCCCUCAUCUCUCUCUCCCUCCCUCUCUGCAAGUGCAGAAAAACGACCAUACCACCCUCGCCGUCGGCGAGCACCACCACCACUCGCGACUCCCUGCGACGAGCGUCAUACCACGUAUUAUAGACGAAGACCCGAGCUUGGACUGCCACGUUCUUUCUUCUCUCUCUCCCAGCAGUGGCGUCGCCACUGUUCAAGAAUUUUCCCUGGCGAGUUCUCGCAGUUCCCGGCAAAGGAAUCAACGUUGAGGGAAAUUGCCCAGUUUCCGGCGAGAAAGCCGACGGCUGUCGAGCCGUUUUUCGGCCAACUCCGGCCACGGCCGAGGAAACCAAAGCUGUACUUUCAUAUCGACGAGGAUUUUUGGCAAAUCUCGGUAUAGAUGGCUACCUUUGAUGGUAUAAUUCGCAUCCUACUUUACUAUAUUUUACUUAUACUCUGACAUCACUUGUGAAAUUGAUUCAUUCCCACUCACAAGUGCACUCUUAUAUUUAGGUACUUUUAGGUUUAAAUUUAUUCACAUUUUUCACACCAAUACACUUUAUGGCUUCGUCACCCUUCAGGUGUCGGCCAACACAGCUCGAUUUGGAGUCCAGGUGGACAAUCUAGGUCGAGGUGUGUCAUGGAUAGGAAAAGAUUUAUAGGAAGGAAAGAAGAGAAAAAAUUUACACUUAUUUGGAUAAUUUUUUUUUUUAAAUUUUACUCCAUAAAAAAUUUAGGGUUGUUGGAAUCAUUGUUGGAAUCGUACGACUAGAGGCUUGCCACGUGGAUUGGACUAUCCGCUAAAUUUGCAAUUGACUGUUGUGGUGAGCCCCACACCGGGAUACUAGAGGCAUUAUCCUCUCUCCAGGUAGGUGUGGGGCAAGUGCCUUAUGCAAAAGAUAGCUACUCCUUAUUUUUUUAAUAAACAAUAACGUUAGUUGGUUAACUCUUGUAAGACGAGGGAAUCAGUGGGGAUCUCACACCAUAGUGCAGCAAAUGCAUAUCUGCACUGCCUUACUCCUUAAGCUCUUGCAAGUUUUUUUGUUCUAAGAGGAAAAAAUUGAUCUAGAGUAUUAGAAAUGCAAUUCAGAUUGCCUUAAGGGUUAUGUUUGAGUAAGCAAUUUUCAAGUUUCAAGGGAUAGAAAACAAAUGAGUAAGAAACGGACCAAAAAUUGUUGACUCAAUUUAUUCUAAUUGCAAGUAGUGAUAUUUCUUCACUUGUAAUUUAGAGGUUUUUAGUUCAAAUCUCGUAAAUGACGAGUAUUAAGUUCAAAUUUCAUAAAUGAUGAGUUUGAUACCAAUUUAUUCUUGUUCACUUGUAUUAAAAAAAAUUUGUUACAAAAAAAAAUCCCGUUCGACCGGAAGCCAAUCUCCCUCCAAAUUGCGUAUCCCUUGUAUUUUUCAGCCACUUCAUUCUAAUUCCAGUGGCAAAGUGGAAACAAACUUCGAAUCACAAACCAUGCCACAAAUCUCACAUGAAAAUCCCCACCACCCUCCUUAAAACCAAAACCAAAUCCCCUCAAAUCCAAAGUACCCCAAACAAAUCCAUGAUUUCUGCACAACAAAGCAAAAAACCAAAUCCUACAAAUUGGUCUUACAUUAUAAGGAAUCACCUCUCUCAAGGAUCAUCCGCGGAGGCGCUUCUCGUGCACACCCGAAUUCGUCGAGGCCCGUGCUUCUAUUCCGUGUAUAAAUCAUGGGAAGGAGUUGCACGCUGAGUCUAUCAAGUCUGGAAUGAAUUCUGAUGUCUUGGUUGGCACGUCACUGGUUGACAUGUAUGCGAAAUGCGGGCAAGUUUUCAAGUCCAGGGAAGCAUUUGGAAAAAAUGCAAGCUGAAGGCUUUAAGCCAGACGAAUUUACUUUUGUCAGCGUUUUAUCUGCCUGUGCUCAGUCUGGGCUGUUGGACCUUGGCAAGGAUAUGCAUACAAUGUUAGGCCACAGAAGUAUAAAGCUUUGUCAGAUUGUUCUGAAUGCACUUGUAGACAUGUACACAAUAUGCGACAUGGUUUGGGGCGCUAUGCUUGGGGCUUGCCGGAUUUAUAUGGAUAUGGAGAUGACCGAACAGGCAGUAAAGGAUGUUAGCACCCUCGAUUCAAACGUUGGAUCAGGCGAUAAUUCACAUUUAUGUGCUUCUGUCAAACAUAUAUGCUGCCUCUGAUAGAUGGGAGAAAGCUGAACGGACGAGGAUUGACAUGAUAAGCGAAGGCUUUCAAAAGACACCAACUCACGGUUCAUUUAUCCCCAGUGGCACAUAACAUGCGUAUGGUACCUCUUCUAGGUAAACCGUUUGCUCUCUGGCGGAGCAGUGGCAUACGACAUGGGGAUAUCUCCCGCCCCAGUUACUGCAGUUCAAAAUACCUUUGUUCAAA